UCCUGGGUAGCUUAGCUGGUAAAGAAUCUACAUGCAAUGCAGGAGACCCCGGUUCAAUUCCCGGUUUGGGAA
rnacentral:tRNA from 1 species